GCUCAAUGAUGAAAGCCAAAUCUGAACAUCAGAAUCUCUUCAGGCUACCUGAUGCUUGAUUUAUAAAAAAUAAAUA
ensembl:snoRNA